rnacentral:rRNA from 1 species
AUUGAACGCUGGCGGCAGGCCUAACACAUGCAAGUCGAACGAGUGGCGGACGGGUGAGUAAUGUAUGUGAAACUGCCUGAUGGAGGGGGAUAACUACUGGAAACGUUAGCUAAUACCGCAUACCAUCGGAUGUGCCCAGAUGGGAGUAGCUUGUGGGUGGGGUAACGGCUAACCAAGGCGACGCUCCCUAGCUGGUCUGAGAGGAGGACCAGCCACACUGGAACUGAGACACGGUCCAGACUCCUACGGGAGGCAGCAGUGGGGAAUAUUGCACAAGGGGCGAAAGCCUGAUGCAGCCAUGCCGCGUGUAUGAAGAAGGCCUUCGGGUUGUAAAGUACUUUCAGCGGGGAGGCGUUACCCGCAGAAGAAGCACCGGCUAACUCCGUGCCAGCAGCCGCGGUAAUUC